rnacentral:lncRNA from 1 species
CCUCUAAAACAAAACUCACCUCUGUACUGCAUAUGAGCUCUACAAAGUAAUCACUGUUCAUAAUUAAGCACUCAUGAUGGAGAGGCACUGUAUGGAAACGUGACAUCACAUAUCUGGAAUAACACAACUAGGGGCAGGGAGCAGAAAAACCCAGCUAAGAGGGAUGUGUGGAAAUAAAUAUUCACAUUACACAUGAGGGGCGAGUCUCAGAUUUAAUGACACAGUGGGGGUUUAGUUUGCUUAGCACCUGUUUGGAAGUAAUCAGGUAACGUAAUUUUGAAAAAUGAAAUCUAAAUCAUGUCUUUAUAAAUCAUGUUGGUGAUACCAUAGACUGCUAGGGUAGAUUUCUUUUAAAGCUCUAUUAAGUCAUCAUUAUAAAGUUAAAAAGGCACUCAAAAGCGAUGGUACUAGCCUGCUUUACUGUACGUUAUGAUAGUAGCAUUUACUCCUGCAUCCAUUGGUUAGGACUUCUCUAAUGUGUUCAGCAUGGACUUCGUUUUUGGAAGAUUGUAACAGUAGGCACAAUCACACUGCACUAGUGCUUUAAUAUAACAUACAAGAGAUGAGUCUGCAGCCGAUAAGGUACUACCGUGAAAGCUGACAACUGAUGGAGUUUAGAAACCUUUUCUGUACAUUUCAAGAUGUUCUCGAGUGCUACUAAGACACAAGGUGUCUGGGAAGGAAAAGGUCAGUGGAAGCACGUUACCACCGCACAGGACUACGACUAGCUUGCAUGUAGCGGUCCAAUUUGGCUGAAUGAAAUAAAUUCAAAUGCUUCGAAACUACACAAGCAGUUCUCAACUCUUUUUUUCUAAACAGCAAAAUUUCUGCUUCUUUUAUCCCCGCCCGCCUCCACCUCCCACCUCUGGGAAAACUUACUUGGAAUUCCAAUACAUAAAAGAGAGGACUUGGGAACUGCUCCUGUACAAGGGGUUGAGAGUGGGGAGUUAGAGGCUCCAACUCAAAUACCAACCAGGCCCCUCCUCUCCCUCCAUCCCCUUCUCUCUUAAACCACUACUUCUGAGGCACCUCAGAGGAACCCCUUGGUUCGUGAACACAGACUGAAAACCAAUCCAUCAGAUGAAAGAACACAAAGGGCCUAUUCACUUGAUAAUUAAGCUGCAACAUUUCCAAGGAGCUAUCUCAUCAAAAUUUGCCCUUCUUGAUUCACAUCUGUGUAAGAAAAAAUAUAUAUAGUGCAGAUUUCUGAUAGUUGGAUUUUAAAAGCCACCCAUGACUUCAGAUUUUUUCAAUCCUUUACUCCAGAAUUUUGGUUACCUUCUGGAUCAUGCAACAUGCCACACACCUUGAAAGCUCAAUCUGGGUAUUUCAAAAUCAGACACUGAUCAACACCCAGGGAACUGGGAUUCCCUUACCUCCAAAACAGAAUUCUUCCGUUCUAAAGUAAUUUAUACCAUAGAUUCAGAAUCACUAUUUCUCCAGUAAUCCUACCCCCUCCUCACCCCUACCUUCAUUUUGUUAGGUAAAAACAGGGGUUUUCUAAGCUGGCUGAAUAAAAUUUUUCCUUUGUCAUAAUUUUAGCUGAUUAAAAUAUUGAGCAGCUAAACAAAGAUUGUGGAUGGUUUACUUGAUAGAAAGCUAGACCAUAAUUAAAAUAUAAAUUAGGUGCACUUGUCAUAGGAGACUUUGGUUUACAGAAAUAGUAUAUAUAUUAAAGAUACGCUGACCCAGCAAAAGAAUGAAAAUCCCAUCCCAUCCAACAAUCUGAGGACCUAUAAAAAUGCAGUAUUUCCAUUUAAGAUGAAGUAAAUCCCAAAUACCUGAUCAUACUGAUUCAAGAUUAAAAAAUUAGGAUUUUUUUAAAAGUCUCUUAAAAAAAGGAGCCCCUGAAUGCAUCUUACUGUAUCAAAUAAGCUAAGUUUAGACUAAAUGGUUGCAUUAGGAAUCUGACAACCAAAAUUAUGUGGCUGUAUUCCAGGAAGUUCGUGCUUGAAAAAUAUACAAAAGACUUACUUAGGCUAGUUUGAAACAUAUAAUGCUUUUAAAAUAUAAUGCUUUGCUAUAGAAAAAUGUAAUUAAACAUGUAAAUGGCUUAAUUGUUUUUUAAAGAUAAUGAUUCCUUUAGCCAAUUGUUUACAAAGGUAGAAUAAUU